UACGUAGGGCGCAAGCGUUAUCCGGAAUUAUUGGGCGUAAAGAGCUCGUAGGCGGUCUGUUGCGUCCGCUGUGAAAACUCGGGGCUUAACCCCGAGCCUGCAGUGGAUACGGGCAGACUAGAGGUAGGUAGGGGAGAAUGGAAUUCCCGGUGUAGCGGUGAAAUGCGCAGAUAUCGGGAGGAACACCGGUGGCGAAGGCGGUUCUCUGG
rnacentral:rRNA from 1 species